rnacentral:lncRNA from 1 species
GUAAGGAAGUGAAUUCUCGAAACUCGAGGAUUAGACUUCGACCAGAAUCGACUAGUUGUCGUGUGCGUAGGCUUCGGAAAGUCCGAAGGUGGUUAUAAUGCAUAAAGUGCAUUAAAGAAGGGUCCGCGGGAGCACCAGUGCAAAAUCUGCACUGGAGCAGAAAUGCUCUCUGGGACCGGUCCCUGGCAGGGAGGGACCGGUUCC